UACCUCAUUGACUGGAAGGAAUCCCUUCCAGUCAAUGAGGAAGCUAUACCUCAUUGACUGGAAGGAAUCCCUUCCAGUCAAUGAGGAA
rnacentral:miRNA from 1 species